rnacentral:rRNA from 1 species
CUUUAAGCCUUAAUAUAAUGUUAAAUAUACUUAUAGACUUAAAGCUCACUCAAAUAGGGUACAGCCUAUUUGAACCAGGAUACAGCCUCCAUUAGAGGGUAAUGCCACAACUAUGUGACCAAGUAGGCUUAAAAGCAGCCAUCUUUCAAAAAGCGUUAAAGCUUUCCCACAUACAACACCAAUCCCCAACCAAACCCAAAACCCCUCACCCAAACUGAAUGACUCCAUACCCAUAUGGAAGCCCUUAUGUUAAAACUAGUAACAAGAAUAACUAUUCUCCAAUAAAUGUGAGUGUAAGCCGAAAUGGACCACCCACCGGCACUUAUCGCUAAUGAAUCUAUAGUAAUAACCCCCACCAGAAAACCCUACUAUAUCCCGCGUUAACCUUACACAAGAACUUUACUGGAAAGAUUAAAAAAGGAGGAAG